UUGGGAGAGAUGCGGCAAACCGAUCACUAAUACAUGCAACCAAGUCCCGACUAGUCUGACUAGGAAGGACGCUUUUAUUAGAUCAAGACCAAUCGCUCGGCUCGUUCGGGCGUAGCCUUGGUGACUCUAGGUAACACAUCACAUCGCAUGGUCUCUGCACCGGCGACUUAUCCUUCAAAUGCCUGACUUAUCAACUGUCGAUGGUAGACUCUAUGUCUACCAUGGUUGUAACGGGUAACGGGGAAUCAGGGUUCGAUUCCGGAGAGGGAGCCUGAGAAACGGCUACCACAUCCAAGGAAGGCAGCAGGCACGCAAAUUACCCACUCCCGGCACGGGGAGGUAGUGACAAAAAAUAACGAUACGGGACUCUUAUGAGGCCCCGUAAUCGGAAUGAGUACACUUUAAAUCCUUUAACAAGGAUCCAUUGGAGGGCAAGUCUGGUGCCAGCAGCCGCGGUAAUUCCAGCUCCAAUAGCGUAUAUUAAAGUUGUUGCGGUUAAAAAGCUCGUAGUUGGUUCUGCGUGCUACGCUGUCGGUUCGCCGCCUGCCGGUGUAACUGGCAUGCCGUGGCAUGUCCUGUCGGUGGCGUGCGGGAGCCUCGUCUAUGCGUUUGGUCCUUGCCAAAAGCUUGGUACCAAAGGCCGGGGGUCCAACCCGUGCGCCUUCUCUAUCCUACCUAGGUGCUCUUCACCGAGUGUCGAGGUAGGCCGACACGUUUACUUUGAACAAAUUAGAGUGCUCAAAGCACGCUAAAAUUUCUGCCUGAAUAGUGGUGCAUGGAAUAAUAAAACAGGACCUUGGUUCUAUUUUGUUGGUUCUUAGGAACACAAGGUAAUGAUCAAUACGGACAGGCGGGGGCAUUCGUAUUGCGUCCUCCGAUGAGGCGGGGCCGGGAAACCAAAGCUUUUGGGCCCGGGGGAAGUAUGGUUGCAAAGCUGAAACUUAAAGGAAUUGACGGAAGGGCACCACCAGGAGUGGAGCCUGCGGCUUAAUUUGACUCAACACGGGAAACCUCACCAGGCCAGGACAUUGGAAGGAUUGACAGAUUGAUAGCUCUUUCUUGAUUCAGUGGGUAGUGGUGCAUGGCCGUUCUUAGUUGGUGGAUCGAUUUGUCUGGUUAAUUCCGAUAACGAACGAGACUCUAGCCUAUUAACUAGGCGUUUACCGGUGUCCUCGCCACCGGCGACACUCAUUCUUCUUAAGGGGACAGGCGGCUCAUAGCCGCACGAGAUUGAGCAAUAACAGGUCUGUAAUGCCCUUAGAUGUCCUGGGCCGCACGCGCGCUACACUGAAGGAAUCAGCGUGUGCCUCCCUGUCCGAAAGGACCGGGUAAUCCGCUGAACCUCCUGCGUGCUAGGAAUUGGGGCUUGCAAUUGUUCCCCAUGAACGAGGAAUUCCCAGUAAGCGCGAGUCAUAAGCUCGCGUUGAUUACGUCCCUGCCCUUUGUACACACCGCCCGUCGCUACUACCGAUUGAAUGAUUUAGUGAGGUCUUCGGACUGGCGGUAAUCCCUAUCGACUUGUCGGUAUCGAUGAACGCUGGAAAGAUGACCAAACUUGAUCAUUUAGAGGAAGUAAAAGUCGUAACAAGGUUUCC
rnacentral:rRNA from 1 species